AGUAGAGAGCUGAAGUGACGCCCUUCAACUGCCGGUCCAUGGGACCUAUCUUUCGAAAAAAUAUGAAAGGGAGUCAAUGAGAGAUAAUAAUUAUUUUUUGGUCCAGUUUCGAUAGAGCCAUGUAUUGCAAG